GCCCCGGGCAACCGUGGGGAAUGAGCGCGGAGGCGAGCUGUGAGUUCCCUCCGCUCCCCCGGGGCACA
rnacentral:snoRNA from 1 species